rnacentral:rRNA from 1 species
CGGCGGACGGGUGAGUAACGCGUGGGUAACCUACCUCAUACAGGGGGAUAACAGUUGGAAACGGCUGCUAAUACCGCAUAAGCGCACAGUACCGCAUGGUACCGUGUGAAAAACUCCGGUGGUAUGAGAUGGACCCGCGUCUGAUUAGCUAGUUGGUGGGGUAACGGCCUACCAAGGCGACGAUCAGUAGCCGACCCGAGAGGGUGACCGGCCACAUUGGGACUGAGACACGGCCCAA